UGGGGUGACGGCGUGCCUAUCGAAAAAUGAGUCUGCGAGUCAGUGGCGGGUGGCGAGCAUAAGCCGUGUGGCGUAUGCGUAGCGAAAGCGAGUCUUAAAAGGCGUUUGUAGUCGCUUGUCCUGGACCCGAAGCGGGAUGAUCUAGCCCUGGGCAGGUUGAAGCGCGGGUAAGACCGCGUGGAGGACCGAACCCACCUGGGUUGAAAACCGGGGGGAUGACCUGGGGCUAGGGGUGAAAGGCCAAUCAAAUUCCGUGAUAGCUGGUUCUCUCCGAAAUGCAUUUAGGUGCAGCGUCGGUCGAUUGCGUCGCGGGGGUAGAGCUACCGGAUGCUUGCGGGCCCUUGUUGGGUACCAACAGCAGCCGAACUCCGAAUACCGUUGACGUGUAUUCCGGCAGUGAGUCGGCGGGGGAUAAGCUCCGUCGUCGAGAGGGAGACAGCCCAGAUCGUCGUCUAAGGUCCCGAAGCGUGUGCUAAGUGGGAAAGGAUGUGGAGUCGCAUAGACAGCCAGGAGGUUGGCUCAGAAGCAGCCAUCCUUGAAAGAGUGCGUAACAGCUCACUGGUCUAGUGGUUCCGCGCCGACAAUGUAGCGGGGCUCAAGCACACCACCGAAGACGCGGCAGUAUUUUGUACUGGGUAGGAGAGCGUCCCAUGAGGGGCGAAGCGGCCGUGUGAACGCGCCGUGGACUUCAUGGGAGUGAGAAUGCAGACAUGAGUAGCGAGAGACGGGUGAGGAUCCCGUCCGCUGGAUGACCAAGGGUUCCAGGGCCACGUUCAUCGUCCCUGGGUGAGUCGGGUCCUAAGGCGAGGCCGACAGGCGUAGUCGAAUGGAUGAACGGGUGGAUAUUCCCGUACCGGCAGCGAACCGCAAGAGCCGAACGGAUGAGUACUAACCUCCGGUCGCGUGGCGUCGUUCCCUUCGGGGUUCGGGGCUCGUGAUUGUUGGGAAUGUAGUCCUGGUAGGUUAGCGCACAGGGGUGACACGGAAUGGGAGCCGGCCGCGGAGGUGGUUUUCCGUGGUCAAGCACGCAGCCAGUCAUGUAGGCAAAUCCGCAUGGCGUGCAUGGCGAGGUGUGAUGAUGGGAGCCGUUAUGGCUCGAUAUCCGGUUGUCCAGGCCGUCGAGAAAAGCCUCGGCGUGAGGGCCAUGGCCGCCCGUACCCCAAACCGACACUGGUGGUCAGGUAGAGAAUACCAAGGCGAUCGAGCGAAUCCUGGUCAAGGAACUCGGCAAAUCACUCCCGUGCCUUCGGUAUAAGGGAGACCCCUGAUGGUGAUGGAACUUGCUUCCGGAGCUUUCGGGGGUGGCACAGACCAGGGGGUAGCGACUGUUUACCAAAAACACAGGUGCAUGCGAAGGCGAAAGCCGCUGUAUAUGCACUGACGCCUGCCCGGUGCCGGAAGGUUAAGAGGAUCCGUCAGCCUUCGGGUGAAGCGGUGAAUUCAAGCCCCGGUAAACGGCGGUGGUAACUAUAACCAUCCUAAGGUAGCGAAAUUCCUUGUCGGGUAAGUUCCGACCUGCACGAAUGGCGUAACGACUUCCCCACUGUCUCGACCAGGAGCUCGGCGAAAUUGCAGUACGAGUAAAGAUGCUCGUUAAGCGCAGAAGGACGAAAAGACCCCGGGACCUUUACUAUACCUUGGUAUUGGCGUUAGGCGCGGAUUGUGUAGCAUAGGCGGGAGGCUUCGAAGCGCGGGCGCCAGCCCGUGUGGAGCCGCAAGGUGAAAUACCGCUCUGUUCUCGUUUGACGUCUCACCUCGAACAGUCAUCCUGUUCAGGGACAGUGCCUGGCGGGUAGUUUAACUGGGGCGGUUGCCUCCCAAAGAGUAACGGAGGCGCUCAAAGGUCCGCUCAGCCCGGUUGGCAAUCGGGUUUCGAGUGUAAUCGCACAAGCGGGCUUGACUGCGAGAACGACGGUUCGGGCAGGGACGAAAGUCGGAGAUAGUGAUCCGGUGCCGGCGCACGGGCGCGGCAUCGCUCAACGGAUAAAAGGUACCCCGGGGAUAACAGGCUGAUCAUUCCCAAGAGUCCAUAUCGACGGGAUGGUUUGGCACCUCGAUGUCGGCUCGUCGCAUCCUGGGGCUGGAGCAGGUCCCAAGGGUUCGGCUGUUCGCCGAUUACAGCGGCA
rnacentral:rRNA from 1 species